rnacentral:rRNA from 1 species
ACAACGAAGAGUUUGAUCCUGGCUCAGGAUAAACGCUAGCGGCAGGCCUAACACAUGCAAGUCGAGCGGCAUCACGAGGUAGCAAUACUUUGGUGGCGAGCGGCGGACGGGUGAGUAACGCGUAUGCAACCUGCCCGCAACACGGAGAUAGCCGACCGAAAGGACGAUUAAACUCCGAUAGUAUCACAAGGCGGC